rnacentral:rRNA from 1 species
AUAUGCUUGUCCCAAAGAUUAAGCCAUGCAUGCUGCGAUUCCGUAAAAAUCUGCGAACAGCUCCGUAUAUCUGUUGUCACCAGUUAUGCCACUCUGCCGGCAGCUCCGCAAUCCUUAACGGAUAGUAGCGGUAAUUCUGCUAGUAAAACGUGUAAAAGACAUUGAGGGGGAGAGAUUAGCGUGCGCGAAGCAUAGUUACCCUCCUUCAUCCCAGUUGGCGUCCCAGAGCACCAAUUUUCACCUUAGGGUGGGGAGGGAGUUCCGGGGACAGCACCUCAAAAGGCUCUAACGAGACCUUUAUAGGCAUUGGGCUUCAGACCUAUCAACUAUGGAGGCUGGGUAAAGUCCAGCCUCGGUGAUAACGGGUACAGAGGAUCAGGGUUCGGUCCUGGAGAGGUAGCCUGAGAGAUAGCUACUACUUCUAAGGAAGGCAGCAGGCGCGCAACGUUCCCAAUGGUUCACCACCUUGGUGGCUGAGGACGUUAAGGGACAUAGCGAUACCCUUGCCAAACGGCAUUGGGUAAUUGCAAUGGGGGCGUUCUAAACCCCCCACCGAGUAGCAAUUGGAGGACAAGUCUGGUGCCAGCACCCGCGGUAAUUCCAGCUCCAAUAGCAUCUAAUUGAGUUGUUGCAGUUAAAACGCUCGUAGUCAGAAUUGGCCGCGAUACGCUUCUGAGUACUCCUGGGUGCGGGUUCGUCCUGCCCCUAGACGAAAGGUGCGCGUGCUGUGGCCAUAAAACUGGUACCUGGGAUCAUGUUGAGUAGGGUACGCCUUACAAAAGCACCCCGGGAGGCCGUUUUACUUUGAAGAAAUGUGAGUGCUCUAAGCAGCCCCCAAGGGGCCUGAAGCCUACAGCAAAGAAUAAUACAACACGGCCUCCGUGGCGUAUUGGUACGUGCCUAGAGGCAAUGAUCAAUAGGGGGGAUCGGGGUCGGCCUCAUGGCAGGGGUAGGGGUGAAAUCCGUUGAUCCUUGCCAGGAGAACAAGAGCGAAAGCAGCCGACAAGUACCCUUUCUUUGAUCAAGAACGAAAGUCUGGGGAUCGAAGAUGAUCAGAUACCAUCGUAGUCCAGACCCUAAAUGCUGCCGACCAUGGAUGGGCGUCAGUCCGUCCCGACCCGGCCCGCACCUUGUGAGAAAUCAUCAAGUGUUUGGGCUCCGGGGGGAGUAUGGUCGCAAGACUGAAACUUAAAGGAAUUGACGGAAGAGCACACAAGGAGUGGAGCCUGCGGCCUAAUUUGACUCAACACGGGGAAACUCACGAGUGCAAGAGAGGGUUAUGAAGCUCGGCAUGAAUUGCUUGGCUGAUUCUCUCAGUGGUGGUGCAUGGUCGUUCUUAGUUCGUGGAGUGAUUUGUCUGGUCUAUUCCGCUAACGAGCGAGAACCCAACUUCUGGAUGUUGCCCGGCCAGCAUAGGGCACGCUGCAGCAGCUUCUUGGCACAUUGAGGCUCUCGAGCUUCUCUAAGGCUAGGGGUGGCGGGCGUCCCACUUUUAAAGUGCAGUGCCGGGGUCCUGCAAGGUGUCCCGGUGACAAGCCGGGGCUUUGGGUCAAUAACAGGUCAGUGAUGCCCUUAGAUGUACUCGGCUGCACGCGCGCUACAAUGGUGGGUGCAAAGUGUCUUCUGCCCCUACGCGGGUGUGGAUAAUCAUUGCAAACCCUCUCACAUCCGGGAUUGCAGCAUGUAAAAUGCGGCAUGAACACGGAAUUUCUAGUAGUCGUGGUUCACCAGACCGCGACGAUUC